rnacentral:rRNA from 1 species
UGGGAGAUAUUGCACAAUGGGCGAAAGCCUGAUGCAGCGACGCCGCGUGGGGGAUGAAGGCUUUCGGGUUGUAAACCUCUUUCGCUAUCGAACAAGGCCCGCUUAGGGUGGGUUGAGGGUAGGUGGAGAAGAAGCGCCGGCUAACUACGUGCCAGCAGCCGCGGUAAUACGUAGGGCGCGAGCGUUGUCCGGAAUUAUUGGGCGUAAAGGGCUUGUAGGCGGCUUGUUGCGCCUGCUGUGAAAACGCGGGGCUUAACUUCGCGCGUGCAGUGGGUACGGGCAGGCUUGCUUGUGGUAGGGGUGACUGGAAUUCCAGGUGUAGCGGUGGAAUGCGCAGAUAUCUGGAGGAACACCGAUGGCGAAGGCAGGUCACUGGGCCAUUACUGACGCUGAGGAGCGAAAGCAUGGGUAGCGAACAGG